GAUGAACGCUGGCGGCGUGCCUAAUACAUGCAAGUCGAGCGAACGGACGAGAAGCUUGCUGCUCUGAUGUUAGCGGCGGGCGGGUGAGUAACACGUGGAUAACCUACCUAUAAGACUGGGAUAACUUCGGGAAACGGGAGCUAAUACCGGAGGAUAUUUUGAACCGCAUGGUUCAAAAGUGAAAGACGGUGUUGCGGUCACUUAUAGAUGGAUCCGCGCUGCAUUAGCUAGUUGGUAAGGUAACGGCUUACCAAGGCAACGAUGCAUAGGCGACCUGAGAGGGUGAUCGGCGACACUGGAACUGAGACACGGUCCAGAGUCCUACGGGACGCAGCAGUAGGGAAUCUGCCGCAGUGGGCGAAAGCCUGACGGAGCAACGGCGCGUGAGUGAUGGAGGUCUUCGGAUCGUAAAACUCUGUUAUUAGGGAAGAACAUAUGUGUAAGUAACUGUGCACAGCUUGACGGUAACUAAUCAGAAAGCAACGGCUAACUACGUG
rnacentral:rRNA from 1 species